rnacentral:lncRNA from 1 species
UGUAAGAAGUGGGGUCCAGUGACCAACUGGGUAUUAGGACCAGCAGGUGGGUGGGUUUCCUAUAAAUGGUAGUCUUCAAAUUUCCAUUAUCUAGCAUUAGUGCAAUAUAAUAAAAAUGGCUGCAUUUGGAUUAUUGUUCAGGAGUGCUCUUUUAUACUGCACUGAACGGCGUGAAAGAGGGGAUGAACUUGGUUUUGUAUAUAAGAAUGGGUACCAACAUUGCUAUAAAAAAACAGUUCCUAAGGCAUAUCUAUUUAGAUGUAAGAGGGGUGCUGCAGAGGCAUCAGCCUGCUACUGGCCCGAACAUGGCCUCCCCACCUAAACAGGAUUGUUUGGCUGUACCAUAUCCACUUAACAACCUAAAACACACCAAAGGAAGUGUUUUAGGCCUUGCUCACGAGAGGGAGGUUAGCAUACUGAGGACACAGAAUAUCUUCAACAUCUUAAGGAAUGAAAAGGAGAGAAGAUUUGGAGAAACCAGCUAUUUGCAAAAUGCUCCUU